UAAGCAUAUCAAUAAGCGGAGGAAAAGAAACCAACAGGGAUUGCCCCAGUAACGGCGAGUGAAGCGGCAACAGCUCAGAUUUGAAAUCUGGCCCCUCCGGGGUCCGAGUUGUAAUCUGUAGAGGAUGCUUUUGGCGACGCGCCUUCCGAGUCCCCUGGAACGGGGCGCCAGAGAGGGUGAGAGCCCCGUAUGGUUGGACGCCGAACCUCUGUAAAGCUCCUUCGACGAGUCGAGUAGUUUGGGAAUGCUGCUCAAAAUGGGAGGUAAAUUUCUUCUAAAGCUAAAUACCGGCCAGAGACCGAUAGCGCACAAGUAGAGUGAUCGAAAGAUGAAAAGCACUUUGAAAAGAGGGUUAAAUAGCACGUGAAAUUGCUGAAAGGGAAGCGCUUGUGACCAGACUUGCGCCCGGUUGAUCAUCCAGCGUUCUCGCUGGUGCACUCUGCCGGGCUCAGGCCAGCAUCGGCUCUCCCAGGGGGAUAAAGGUCGCGGGAACGUAGCUCUCUUCGGGGAGUGUUAUAGCCCGCGGCGGAAUACCCUUAGGGGGGGCCGAGGCCCGCGUUCGCAAGGAUGCUGGCGUAAUGGUCACCAGCGACCCGUCUUGAAACACGGACCAAGGAGUCAAGCAUUAGGGCGAGUCUUUGGGUGUAAAACCCGCAGGCGCAAUGAAAGUGAACGGAGGUGAGAGCUUCGGCGCAUCAUCGACCGAUCCUGAUGUUCUCGGAUGGAUUUGAGUAAGAGCCUUACCGCUUGGACCCGAAAGAUGGUGAACUAUGCCUGAAUAGGGUGAAGCCAGAGGAAACUCUGGUGGAGGCUCGCAGCGGUUCUGACGUGCAAAUCGAUCGUCAAAUUUGGGCAUGGGGGCGAAAGACUAAUCG
rnacentral:rRNA from 1 species